CAGUAGCCGCGGGAAUACGAAGGGGGCUAGCGUUGCUCGGAAUUACUGGGCGUAAAGGGAGCGUAGGCGGGUCGUUUAGUCAGAGGUGAAAUCCCGGGGCUCAACCUCGGAACUGCCUUUGAUACUGGCGACCUUGAGUAUGGGAGAGGUGAGUGGAACUCCGAGUGUAGAGGUGAAAUUCGUAGAUAUUCGGAAGAACACCAGUGGCGAAAGCGACUCACUGGCCCAUUACUGACGCUGAGGCUCGAAAGCGUGGGGAGCAAACAGGAUUAGAUACCCCGGUAGUCCCUGUCUCUUAUAC
rnacentral:rRNA from 1 species